rnacentral:rRNA from 1 species
AGUGAACGCUGGCGGUAGGCCUAACACGUGCAAGUCGAACGGCAGCACAGUAAGAGCUUGCUCUUACGGGUGGCGAGUGGCGGACGGGUGAGGAAUACAUCGGAAUCUACUUUUUCGUGGGGGAUAACGUAGGGAAACUUACGCUAAUACCGCAUACGACCUACGGGUGAAAGCAGUGGAUCUUCGGACCUUGCGCGAUUGAAUGAGCCGAUGUCGGAUUAGCUAGUUGGCGGGGUAAAGGCCCACCAAGGCGACGAUCCGUAGCUGGUCUGAGAGGAUGAUCAGCCACACUGGAACUGAGACACGGUCCAGACUCCUACGGGAGGCAGCAGUGGGGAAUAUUGGACAAUGGGCGCAAGCCUGAUCCAGCCAUACCGCGUGGGUGAAGAAGGCCUUCGGGUUGUAAAGCCCUUUUGUUGGGAAAGAAAAGCAGCAGGUUAAUACCCCGCUGUUCUGACGGUACCCAAAGAAUAAGCACCGGCUAACUUCGUG